UUAAGCGACUAAGCGUACACGGUGGAUGCCCUGGCAGUCAGAGGCGAUGAAGGACGUGCUAAUCUGCGAUAAGCGUCGGUAAGGUGAUAUGAACCGUUAUAACCGGCGAUUUCCGAAUGGGGAAACCCAGUGUGUUUCGACACACUAUCAUUAACUGAAUCCAUAGGUUAAUGAGGCGAACCGGGGGAACUGAAACAUCUAAGUACCCCGAGGAAAAGAAAUCAACCGAGAUUCCCCCAGUAGCGGCGAGCGAACGGGGAGCAGCCCAGAGCCUGAAUCAGUGUGUGUGUUAGUGGAAGCGUCUGGAAAGGCGCGCGAUACAGGGUGACAGCCCCGUACACAAAAAUGCACAUGCUGUGAGCUCGAUGAGUAGGGCGGGACACGUGGUAUCCUGUCUGAAUAUGGGGGACCAUCCUCCAAGGCUAAAUACUCCUGACUGACCGAUAGUGAACCAGUACCGUGAGGGAAAGGCGAAAAGAACCCCGGCGAGGGGAGUGAAAAAGAACCUGAAACCGUGUACGUACAAGCAGUGGGAGCCUCUUUUAUGGGGUGACUGCGUACCUUUUGUAUAAUGGGUCAGCGACUUAUAUUCUGUAGCAAGGUUAACCGAAUAGGGGAGCCGAAGGGAAACCGAGUCUUAACUGGGCGUUAAGUUGCAGGGUAUAGACCCGAAACCCGGUGAUCUAGCCAUGGGCAGGUUGAAGGUUGGGUAACACUAACUGGAGGACCGAACCGACUAAUGUUGAAAAAUUAGCGGAUGACUUGUGGCUGGGGGUGAAAGGCCAAUCAAACCGGGAGAUAGCUGGUUCUCCCCGAAAGCUAUUUAGGUAGCGCCUCGUGAAUUCAUCUCCGGGGGUAGAGCACUGUUUCGGCAAGGGGGUCAUCCCGACUUACCAACCCGAUGCAAACUGCGAAUACCGGAGAAUGUUAUCACGGGAGACACACGGCGGGUGCUAACGUCCGUCGUGAAGAGGGAAACAACCCAGACCGCCAGCUAAGGUCCCAAAGUCAUGGUUAAGUGGGAAACGAUGUGGGAAGGCCCAGACAGCCAGGAUGUUGGCUUAGAAGCAGCCAUCAUUUAAAGAAAGCGUAAUAGCUCACUGGUCGAGUCGGCCUGCGCGGAAGAUGUAACGGGGCUAAACCAUGCACCGAAGCUGCGGCAGCGACGCUUAUGCGUUGUUGGGUAGGGGAGCGUUCUGUAAGCCUGUGAAGGUGUGCUGUGAGGCAUGCUGGAGGUAUCAGAAGUGCGAAUGCUGACAUAAGUAACGAUAAAGCGGGUGAAAAGCCCGCUCGCCGGAAGACCAAGGGUUCCUGUCCAACGUUAAUCGGGGCAGGGUGAGUCGACCCCUAAGGCGAGGCCGAAAGGCGUAGUCGAUGGGAAACAGGUUAAUAUUCCUGUACUUGGUGUUACUGCGAAGGGGGGACGGAGAAGGCUAUGUUGGCCGGGCGACGGUUGUCCCGGUUUAAGCGUGUAGGCUGGUUUUCCAGGCAAAUCCGGAAAAUCAAGGCUGAGGCGUGAUGACGAGGCACUACGGUGCUGAAGCAACAAAUGCCCUGCUUCCAGGAAAAGCCUCUAAGCAUCAGGUAACAUCAAAUCGUACCCCAAACCGACACAGGUGGUCAGGUAGAGAAUACCAAGGCGCUUGAGAGAACUCGGGUGAAGGAACUAGGCAAAAUGGUGCCGUAACUUCGGGAGAAGGCACGCUGAUAUGUAGGUGAAGCGACUUGCUCGUGGAGCUGAAAUCAGUCGAAGAUACCAGCUGGCUGCAACUGUUUAUUAAAAACACAGCACUGUGCAAACACGAAAGUGGACGUAUACGGUGUGACGCCUGCCCGGUGCCGGAAGGUUAAUUGAUGGGGUCAGCGCAAGCGAAGCUCUUGAUCGAAGCCCCGGUAAACGGCGGCCGUAACUAUAACGGUCCUAAGGUAGCGAAAUUCCUUGUCGGGUAAGUUCCGACCUGCACGAAUGGCGUAAUGAUGGCCAGGCUGUCUCCACCCGAGACUCAGUGAAAUUGAACUCGCUGUGAAGAUGCAGUGUACCCGCGGCAAGACGGAAAGACCCCGUGAACCUUUACUAUAGCUUGAUACUGAACAUUGAGCCUUGAUGUGUAGGAUAGGUGGGAGGCUUUGAAGUGUGGACGCCAGUCUGCAUGGAGCCGACCUUGAAAUACCACCCUUUAAUGUUUGAUGUUCUAACGUUGACCCGUAAUCCGGGUUGCGGACAGUGUCUGGUGGGUAGUUUGACUGGGGCGGUCUCCUCCUAAAGAGUAACGGAGGAGCACGAAGGUUGGCUAAUCCUGGUCGGACAUCAGGAGGUUAGUGCAAUGGCAUAAGCCAGCUUGACUGCGAGCGUGACGGCGCGAGCAGGUGCGAAAGCAGGUCAUAGUGAUCCGGUGGUUCUGAAUGGAAGGGCCAUCGCUCAACGGAUAAAAGGUACUCCGGGGAUAACAGGCUGAUACCGCCCAAGAGUUCAUAUCGACGGCGGUGUUUGGCACCUCGAUGUCGGCUCAUCACAUCCUGGGGCUGAAGUAGGUCCCAAGGGUAUGGCUGUUCGCCAUUUAAAGUGGUACGCGAGCUGGGUUUAGAACGUCGUGAGACAGUUCGGUCCCUAUCUGCCGUGGGCGCUGGAGAACUGAGGGGGCUGCUCCUAGUACGAGAGGACCGGAGUGGACGCAUCACUGGUGUUCGGGUUGUCAUGCCAAUGGCACUGCCCGGUAGCUAAAUGCGGAAGAGAUAAGUGCUGAAAGCAUCUAAGCACGAAACUUGCCCCGAGAUGAGUUCUCCCUGACCCUUUAAGGGUCCUGAAGGAACGUUGAAGACGACGACGUUGAUAGGCCGGGUGUGUAAGCGCAGCGAUGCGUUGAGCUAACCGGUACUAAUGAACCGUGAGGCUUAACCUU
rnacentral:rRNA from 1 species